UCAGAGACAGAGAUACAGAUACAGACAGAGACAGACAGAUACAAAAAGACAGACAGAGACACAAAAAGACAAACAGAGACAGAGAUACAGAUACAGACAGACACACAGAGACAGAGAUACAGAAACAGACACAGAAAGACACACAGAGACACAAAAAGACACAAAGAGACAGAGACAGAGGUGUAGAUACAGACAGAGAGAAAGACAAAGACACAAGAAGACAGAGACAGAGAUACAGAUACAGACAGAGACAGACAGAGAUACAAAAAGACAAACAGAGACAGAGAUACAGAAACAGACAAACACAAAAGACACAGAGAGACACAAAAAGGCACAAACAGACAGAGACAGAGAUAUUGAUACAGACAGAGAGACAGAGACACAAAAGACACAGAGAGACACACAGAGACAGAGAUACAGAUACAGACAGAGACACAGAGACAGAGACACAAAAGACACAAAGAGACAGACAGAGACAGAGAUAUGGAUACAGACAGACAGAGACACAAAAAGACACACAGAUAAAGAGAUACAGAUACAGACAGAGAAAGAGAUACAAAAAGACAGACAGAGACAGAGAUACAAAAAGACAGAGACAGAGAUACAGAUGCAGAGACACAAAGAGACACACAGAGACAGAGAUACAGAUACAGACAGACACAAAAGACACAGAGAGACAGAGACAGAGAUAUAGAUACAGAUAGAGACAGACAGAGACACAAAAGACACAAAGACAGAGAUACACAUACAUACAGAGAAAGACAGAAACACAAAAAGACACACAGAGACACAAAAAGACACAAAGACACAUACAGAGACACAAAAAGACACACAGAGACACACAGAGAUAGAGAUACAGAUACAGACAGACACAGAGAGACACAGAAAGAACACAGAGACAGAAAAAGACACAAAGAGACAGACAGAGACAGAGAUAUAGAUACAGACAGACACAGAGAGACACAGAAAGACACACAGAGACACAAAAAGACACAAAGAGACAGACAGAGACAGAGAUAUAGAUACAGACAGACACAAAAGACACAGAGAGACAGAGACAGAGAUAUAGAUACAGAUAGAGACAGACAGAGACAGAGAUAUAGAUACAGACAGACACAGAGAGACACAGAAAGACACACAGAGACACAAAAAGACACAAAGAGACACACAGAGACAGAGAUACAGAUACAGACAGACACAAAAAGACACAGAGAGACAGAGACAGAGAUAUAGAUACAGAUAGAGACAGACAGAGACACAAAAGACACAAAGACAGAGAUACACAUACAUACAGAGAAAGACAGAAACACAAAAAGACACACAGAGACACAAAAAGACACAAAGACACAUACAGAGACACAAAAAGACACACAGAGACACACAGAGAUAGAGAUACAGAUACAGACAGACACAGAGAGACACAGAAAGACACACAGAGACAGAAAAAGACACAAAGAGACAGACAGAGACAGAGAUAUAGAUACAGACAGACACAGAGAGACACAGAAAGACACACAGAGACACAAAAAGACACAAAGAGACAGACAGAGACAGAGACAGAGAUACAAAAAGACAAACAGAGACAGAGAUACAAAAAGACAAACAGAGACAGAGAUACAGAUACAGACAGAGACAGAGAUACAAAAAGACAGACAGAGACACCAAAAAACAAAGACAGAGAUGCAGAUACAGACAGAGACAAAAGACACACAGAGACGCAAAAAGACACACAGAGACACAAAAAGACACAAAGAGACAGACAGAUACAGGGAUACAGAUACAGACAGACAGACACACAGAGACACAAAGAGAUAGACAGAGACAGAGAUACACAUACAGGCAGAGAAAGACAGAAACAGAAAAAGACACACCGAGACACAAAAAGAUACACAGAGACACAAAAAGACAAACAGAGACAGAGAUAACACAGACAGAAACAGACAGAGACACAAAAAGACUCAAAGAGACAAAUAGAGACACAAAAAGACACACAGAGACAUGCAGAGACAGAGAAACAGAUACAGACAGACACAGAAAGCCACAGAGAGACACAAAAAGACAUACAGAGACAUGCAGAGACAGAGAAACAGAUACAGACACAGAAAGAGACACAGAGAGACACAAAAAGACACGCAGAGACACAAAAAGACACAAAGACAGAGAGACAGAGAGACACAAAAAUACACAUAGUGACACAAAAAGACACACAGAGACAUGCAAAGACAGAGAAACAGAUACAGACAGACACAGAGAGACACACAGAGACACAAAAAGACAUACAGAGACAUGCAGAGACAGAGAAACAGAUACAGACACAGAAAGAGACACAGAGAGACACAAAAAGACACGCAGAGACACAAAAAGACACAAAGAGAUAGAUAGAGACACAAAAAUACACAUAGUGACACAAAAAGACACACAGAGACAUACAGAGACAGAGAAACAGAUACAGACAGACACAGAAAGACACAGAGAGACACAAAGAGACAGAAACACAAAAAGACACACGGAGACACAAAAAGACAUAAAGAGACA